rnacentral:rRNA from 1 species
ACGUAGGGUGCGAGCGCUAAUCGGAAUUACUGGGCGUAAAGCGUGCGCAGGCGGCUAUGCAAGACAGGUGUGAAAUCCCCGGGCUUAACCUGGGAACUGCAUUUGUGACUGCACGACUGGAGUGCGGCAGAGGGGGAUGGAAUUCCGCGUGUAGCAGUGAAAUGCGUAGAGAUGCGGAGGAACACCGAUGGCGAAGGCAGCCUCCUGGGAUGACACUGACGCUCAUGCACGAAAGCGUGGGGAGCAAACAG